UCAGCUCAGAUUGUGGGCUGCAACCCGCCCACAUGAAGUUGGAGUUGCUAGUAAUCGCGGAUCAGCAUGCCGCGGUGAAUACGUUCCCGGGCCUUGUACACACCGCCCGUCACACCAUGGGAGCCGGUAAUACCCGAAGUCAGUAGUCUAACCGCAAGGAGGACGCUGCCGAAGGUAGGAUUGGCGACUGGGGUGAAGUCGUAACAAGGUAGC
rnacentral:rRNA from 1 species